rnacentral:rRNA from 1 species
ACAACGAAGAGUUUGAUCCUGGCUCAGGAUGAACGCUAGCGACAGGCUUAACACAUGCAAGUCGAGGGGCAGCGGGGACGAAAGCUUGCUUUUGUCCGCCGGCGACCGGCGCACGGGUGAGUAACACGUAUGCAACCUGCCCGUUGCAGGGGAAUA